CUCUCACGGUUCUCAGGCUGCUGCUGCACUGGGAAGGGAGUCGAGGCCCGUGGACCAGAAUGCCGUGGAUCCUGCCCACUUCCACACACGGUGGCCACGAUUAGUCAUUACCGAUGAGCCCCGAUGAUGCCCAAAGGAAGGACUCGGGUCCUCCAGUCCUUGCCGGGGUCCUGACCUGGAGCUGGAGAGGGGUUCCUAGCAGGAAUUUCCAGAGCGUCUGUGAGCUUUGCUCAGGAUUCCUCAGUCGGCCCCACACGUGGAGGCCCAGAUGCCAACCCGUGCAAUGAAGGUAUAAGAGUGUUCUGAGGUUGAGCGCCGUCCGAGGCAAAGGCCUCACAAACCCGGCUUGAAAGGCUGGAGGGAGCUCCUGCCAGCCCAGUGCCGCCCUGCCUGCUGCCCGCUCCCUGAUACGGUCUGGUCU